CGUUGAAACACCUGUUCUUGUACGAUCUCCGCAGUUAAGCAACGCCGAACUUGUUUAAUACCUCGAUGGGUGACCGUUUACGAAUACCAGGUGCUGUG